UCAAUUAAUCGCAUCCGUUGUCUAUCAGCAGUUAAACGAGAUUGUGUCUCCUCGGAUGUUUCAUUUUCCCGAUGUGCUCACCUCACUUGUCUAUCAGCGGCUAAGUGAGUUUCUCUGUCCUCGGAGGUUUCGUUUUCCCGAUGUGCUCGCCUCCAUUGUGUAUCAGCGGUUAAGCGAGUUUCUCUCUCCUCGGAGGUUUCGUUUUCCCGAUGUGCUUGCCUCACUUGUCUAUCAGCGGCUAAGUGAGUUUCUCUCUCCUCGGAGGUUUCGUUUUCCCGAUGUGCUUGCCUCACUUGUCUAUCAGCGGUUAAGCGAGUUUCUCUCUCCUCGGAGGUUUCGUUUUCCCGAUGUGCUCGCCUCCAUUGUGUAUCAGCGGUUAAGCGAGUUUCUCUCUCCUCGGAGGUUUCAUUUUCCCGAUGUGCUCACCUCACUUGUCUAUCAGCGGCUAAGUGAGUUUCUCUCUCCUCGGAGGUUUCGUUUUCCCGAUGUGCUCGCCUCCAUUGUGUAUCAGCGGUUAAGCGAGUUUCUCUCUCCUCGGAGGUUUCGUUUUCCCGAUGUGCUCACCUCACUUGUCUAUCAGCGGCUAAGUGAGUUUCUCUCUCCUCGGAGGUUUCGUUUUCCCGAUGUGCUUGCCUCACUUGUCUAUCAGCGGCUAAGUGAGUUUCUCUCUCCUCGGAGGUUUCGUUUUCCCGAUGUGCUCGCCUCACUUGUCUAUCAGCGGCUAAGUGAGUUUCUCUCUCCUCGGAGGUUUCGUUUUCCCGAUGUGCUCACCUCACUUGUCUAUCAGCGGCUAAGUGAGUUUCUCUCUCCUCGGAGGUUUCGUUUUCCCGAUGUGCUCAUUUCACUUGUCUAUCAGCGGCUAAGUGAGUUUCUC